GCCUUUUACCCCCCCCCCACCCCCUCCAAGUUUAAACUAAAAUAUUCUAACAGUCUAGUAAAGAAGAUUAAAAAACUCCUCAGAGCUAUAAUUGUACCGCAAGGGAGAGAUGAAAUAAAAAUGAAAUAAAUCUUAAGCACAAAAAAGUAAAGAUUACUUCUUGUACCUUUUGCAUCAUGGUUUAGCUAGUCUAACUAGGCAAAAAGACCUUAAGUCUAACUUCCCGAAACUAAGUGAGCUAAUUUAGGGCCGCUUAACGAGCCCACCCGUCUAUGUUGCAAAAUAGUGGGAAGACCCUAAAAUAGAAGUGACAGACCUAACGAACUUAGUGAUAGCUGGUUUCUCAAGAAAAGAAUUUAGUUCAACAUAAAAUAACCCCAACCCACACAAUUUUUCCCCUUAUUUUAGAGCAAUUCAAAUGAGGUACAGCCCAUUUGAUACAGGAUCCAACCUUUACUAACGGGUAACACUUGACUCACACUUAAAAGUGGGCCUAAAAGCAGUCACCUUUUAAAAAGCGUCAAAGCUUAACUAUGUGAAUCUCAAUUUAAAAAUCCACACUGACCCCUUUAACUGUACUGAGAACUUCUAUAAACCUAUAGAACCUUUUCUGCUAAAACUAGUAACAAGAGGACUCCCCUCUCCUUAAUGCAAGCACAACCCAGCAAGAACCAAUCACUGGCAAUUAACGGAGUAAUGUAACAACUUCACUAGAAAACCCUACACCCCCUCCCCCGUUAACCUAACACUAGAGCAUUUCAAGAAAGAUUAAAAGAAAAAGAAGGAAUUCCGCAAACAAUAGCUUCGCCUGUUUACCAAAAACAUCGCCUCUUGACUCCCAUAAGAGGCCCAGCCUGCCCAGUGACUCUGUUCAACGGCCGCGGUAUCCUAACCGUGCAAAGGUAGCGUAAUCACUUGUCUUCUAAAUAAAGACCAGUAUGAAAGGCAUUACGAGGGCUAAACUGUCUCCUCUCUCUAAUCAGUGAACCUAAUCUCCCCGUGAAGAAACGGGGAUCUUAACAUAAGACGAGAAGACCCUAUGGAGCUUUAAACAAUAUAACACCUGCUAAAUUUUAAAUUAUUCUGAUUCUAACCCCAUAGCAUGCUGAUUAUAAGUUUUUGGUUGGGGUGACCGCGGAGAAAAAAAGAUCCUCCACAAUGAAAGGGCUUUCCCUCUAAACUGUAAGCCACAACUUUAAGUAUAAAUAAAUUACAUUAUUGACCCAAUAUUUGAUCAACGAACCAAGUUACCCUAGGGAUAACAGCGCAAUCCACUUUGAGAGCUCCUAUCGACAAGUGGGCUUACGACCUCGAUGUUGGAUCGGGGUAUCCCGGUGGUGCAGCCGCUACUAAGGGUUCGUUUGUUCAACGAUUAAAACCCCACGUGAUCUGAGUUCAGACCGGAGCAAUCCAGGUCAGUUUCUAUCUAUGAAGAGGCUUUUUUUAGUACGAAAGGACCAAAAAAGCCCGGCCAAUACUAAAUCAAGCCGUAACUCUAAUUUUUGACCACAACUCAAAAAAUACCAAUCUUCCCCCUCUCCCG
rnacentral:rRNA from 1 species